GAGCCAUUAGCUCAGUUGGUAGAGCAUCUGACUUUUAAUCAGAGGGUCAGAGGUUCGAUCCUCUAUGGCUCACCA
rnacentral:tRNA from 1 species